rnacentral:tRNA from 1 species
UGCGGAGUAGAGCAGUCUGGUAGCUUGCAAGGCUCAUAACCUUGAGGUCGUGUUUGGUUCGAAUCCCACCUCCGCAU